AGUGAACGCUGGCGGUAGGCCUAACACAUGCAAGUCGAACGGCAGCACAGUAAGAGCUUGCUCUUACGGGUGGCGAGUGGCGGACGGGUGAGGAAUACAUCGGAAUCUACUUUUUCGUGGGGGAUAACGUAGGGAAACUUACGCUAAUACCGCAUACGACCUACGGGUGAAAGCAGGGGAUCUUCGGACCUUGCGCGAUAGAAUGAGCCGAUGUCGGAUUAGCUAGUUGGCGGGGUAAAGGCCCACCAAGGCGACGAUCCGUAGCUGGUCUGAGAGGAUGAUCAGCCACACUGGAACUGAGACACGGUCCAGACUCCUACGGGAGGCAGCAGUGGGGAAUAUUGGACAAUGGGCGCAAGCCUGAUCCAGCCAUACCGCGUGGGUGAAGAAGGCCUUCGGGUUGUAAAGCCCUUUUGUUGGGAAAGAAAAGCAGCAGGUUAAUACCCCGCUGUUCUGACGGUACCCAAAGAAUAAGCACCGGUUAACUUCGUG
rnacentral:rRNA from 1 species